UACGGAGGGUGCAAGCGUUAUCCGGAUUCACUGGGUUUAAGGGGAGCGUAGGUGGGUUGGUAAGUCAGUGGUGAAAUCCCCGAGCUUAACUUGGGAACUGCCAUUGAAACUAUCAGUCUUGAAUACUGUGGAGGUUAGCGGAAUAUGUCAUGUAGCGGUGAAAUGCUUAGAUAUGACAUAGAACACCAAUUGCGAAGGCAGCUGGCUACACAAUUAUUGACACUGAGGCUCGAAAGCGUGGGGAUCAAACAGG
rnacentral:rRNA from 1 species